ensembl:snRNA U6 U6 spliceosomal RNA
GGCAGCGUGUUUACUGAAAAAAAAAAAUGGAAUGGUACAGAGAUAAGCAUUGCCCAUGUGCAAGGAUGACAUGCAAAUUUGUGAAGCAUUCCAUAUUUGC